rnacentral:rRNA from 1 species
CCUACGGGGGGCUGCAGUGGGGAAUAUUGGACAAUGGAGGCAACCCUGAUCCAGCCAUGCCGCGUGUGUGAAGAAGGCCCUCGGGUUGUAAAGCACUUUCAGUGAGGAAGAACGCCUGGUGGUUAAUACCCAUCAGGAAAGACAUCACUCACAGAAGAAGCACCGGCUAACUCCGUGCCAGCAGCCGCGGUAAUACGGAGGGUGCGAGCGUUAAUCGGAAUUACUGGGCGUAAAGCGCGCGUAGGUGGCUUGAUAAGCCGGUUGUGAAAGCCCCGGGCUCAACCUGGGAACGGCAUCCGGAACUGUCAAGCUAGAGUGCAGGAGAGGAAGGUAGAAUUCCCGGUGUAGCGGUGAAAUGCGUAGAGAUCGGGAGGAAUACCAGUGGCGAAGGCGGCCUUCUGGACUGACACUGACACUGAGGUGCGAAAGCGUGGGUAGCAAACAGGAUUAGAUACCCUAGUAGUC